AUUGAACGCUAGCGGCAUGCUUAACACAUGCAAGUCGAACGAGUGGCGGACGGGUGAGUAAUAUAUCGGAACCUGCCCAAUAGAGGGGGAUAACUACUGGAAACGGGGCUAAUACCGCAUACUAUCGGAUGAACCCAUAUGGGAUUAGCUAGUUGGUGGGGUAAAGGCUCACCAAGGCAACGAUCCGUAGCUGGUCUGAGAGGAGGACCAGCCACACUGGGACUGAGACACGGCCCAGACUCCUACGGGAGGCAGCAGUGGGGAAUAUUGGACAAGGGGGGCAAGCCUGAUCCAGCCAUGCCGCGUGUAUGAUGAAGGCCUUAGGGUUGUAAAGUACUUUUAGCGGGGAAGCGGUAUCUGCAGAAGAAGCACCGGCUAACUACGUGCCAGCAGCCGCGGUAAUAC
rnacentral:rRNA from 1 species